CCUACGGGCGGCUGCAGUGAGGAAUAUUGGUCAAUGGGAGAGAUCCUGAACCAGCCAAGCCGCAUGAGGGAAGACGGCCCUAUGGGUUGUCAACCUCUUUUGUCGGAGAACAAAACCCGGGACGUGUCCCGGACUGCGUGUAUCCGAAGAAAAAGCAUCGGCUAACUCCGGACCAGCAGCAGCGGUAAUACGGAGGAUGCGAGCGUUAUCAGGUUUUAGUUGGUUUAAAGGGUGCGUAGGCGGUCAGUUAAGUCAGCGGUAAAAUUGCGAGGAUCAAGCCCGUCGUGCCGUUGAGACUGGCAGACAAGAGGUGGCGAGAAGGACGCGGAAUGCGAGGUGU
rnacentral:rRNA from 1 species